GAUGAACGCUGGCGGCGUGCCUAAUACAUGCAAGUCGAGCGAACAGACGAGGAGCUUGCUCCUCUGACGUUAGCGGCGGACGGGUGAGUAACACGUGGAUAACCUACCUAUAAGACUGGGAUAACUUCGGGAAACCGGAGCUAAUACCGGAUAAUAUAUUGAACCGCAUGGUUCAAUAGUGAAAGACGGUUUUGCUGUCACUUAUAGAUGGAUCCGCGCCGCAUUAGCUAGUUGGUAAGGUAACGGCUUACCAAGGCAACGAUGCGUAGCCGACCUGAGAGGGUGAUCGGCCACACUGGAACUGAGACACGGUCCAGACUCCUACGAGAGGCAGCAGUAGGGAAUCUUCCGCAAUGGGCGAAAGCUUGACGGAGCAACGCCGCGUGAGUGAUGAAGGUCUUCGGAUCGUAAAACUCUGUUAUUAGGGAAGAACAAAUGUGUAAGUAACUAUGCACGUCUUGACGGUACCUAAUCAGAAAGCAACGGCUAACUACGUG
rnacentral:rRNA from 1 species